UACGGAGGAUGCGAGCGUUAUCCGGAUUUAUUGGGUUUAAAGGGUGCGUAGGCUGGUAAUUAAGUCAGUGGUGAAAUACUCCGGCUCAACCUGGGAACUGCCUUUGAAACGGGACAUCUUGAGUUCGGGAGAGGGUAGCGGAAUUCCUAGUGUAGCGGUGAAAUGCUUAGAUAUCACACAGAACACCGAUUGCGAAGGCAGCACACUAAGUCAUUAUUGACGCUGAGGCACGAAAGUGUGGGGAUCAAACAGGAUUAGAUACCCGCGUAGU
rnacentral:rRNA from 1 species